rnacentral:rRNA from 1 species
UACGAGGGGGGCAAAUGUUGUUCGGAAUCACUGGGCGUAAAGGGAGCGUAGGCGGGUUUUAAGUCAGGUGUUUAAUCCCGGGGCCCAACCCCGGACAGGCACUUGAAACUGGGAAUCUUGAAUAGUGGAGAGGUCAGUGGAAUUGGGGGUGUAGCGGUGGAAUGCGUAGGAGAUCCCCAAGAACACCCGUUGCGAAGGCGGCUGACUGGACACAUAUUGACGCUGAGGCUCGAAAGCAUGGGGAGCAAACAGG